GAUGAACGCUGGCGACGUUCCUAAUACAUGCAAGUCGAGCGAACAGACGAGGAGCUUGCUCCUCUGACGUUAGCGGCGGACGGGUGAGUAACACGUGGAUAACCUACCUAUAAGACUGGGAUAACUUCGGGAAACCGGAGCUAAUACCGGAUAAUAUAUUGAACCGCAUGGUUCAAUAGUGAAAGACGGUUUUGCUGUCACUUAUAGAUGGAUCCGCGCCGCAUUAGCUAGUUGGUAAGGUAACGGCUUACCAAGGCAACGAUGCGUAGCCGACCUGAGAGGGUGAUCGGCCACACUGGAACUGAGACACGGUCCAGACUCCUACGGGAGGCAGCAGUAGGGAAUCUUCCGCAAUGGGCGAAAGCCUGACGGAGCAACGCCGCGUGAGUGAUGAAGGUCUUCGGAUCGUAAAACUCUGUUAUUAGGGAAGAACAAAUGUGUAAGUAACUAUGCACGUCUUGACGGUACCUAAUCAGAAAGCCACGGCUAACUACGU
rnacentral:rRNA from 1 species